GGCCUCGUAGCUCAUUUUUCUAAAGCGUUAGAUGAACUAAAGCCUUCCCUUUGCUGGUGUGGGUUUGAAUCCCACUGAGGCCA
rnacentral:tRNA from 1 species